UACGAAGGGGGCUAGCGUUGUUCGGAUUUACUGGGCGUAAAGCGCGUGUAGGCGGACUUGUAAGUUGGGGGUGAAAUCCCGAGGCUCAACCUCGGAACUGCCUCCAAAACUACAAGUCUGGAGCAAGAUAGAGGCAAGUGGAAUUGCGAGUGUAGAGGUGAAAUUCGUAGAUAUUCGCAGGAACACCAGUGGCGAAGGCGACUUGCUGGAUCUUUGCUGACGCUGGGACGCGAAAGCGUGGGGAGCAAACAGG
rnacentral:rRNA from 1 species